ACCCAUCUGACGAGUCCCAAACAGGACGAAACACGCGUCCUGGAC
rnacentral:hammerhead_ribozyme from 1 species